rnacentral:tRNA from 1 species
GGAGUUGUAGCUUAGUGGUAGAGUAUCUGCUUGUUAUGCAGAAGCCCCCAGUUUCAAUCCCCAAUAUCUCCA